UGCAAUAUCCUGUAUUCCUGUCAAACCACGGUUAUAAAACAAUACCAGAACCACAAAAUAGAGACUAUUUCGGAACGAUUGUGUCUUUAUUCUGUGCCAGAACCAUCCAGACCAAUACUGAUAUUAUUUCCACAUUCCUGUCGUGUAUAUUCGCAAGGAUUUUGAGAAGAAACAAGAUCGAAGAACAGUGUAAAAUUACAAAAACGGUGAAGAAAUAUAAUCUGUUGUUAAAGACAGUGUAGGU